UUGGCGUAAAAUGACCACUAGCUUACAGGUAAAAACGUGAACUCACGAAGAUCAGAUUGGAGUUUUAACACCGAGCUCGGAUCUCGGAGAGUUACCAUGGCAACAGUAGCCAGGUGAAGACGCACGCAUGCUCACCAAAAGACUCAAAGGUGACUUUCUCUGCAAUGUUCGAGUUAGAGGAGGAGUUUUGAUCCACACCGUCCUUCAACAACAGCCAGCUGACUACAGGAGAUGGUUUUACCAUUAAGGCUGAAGAUGUAGAGCAGCACAGCUCUGAUCUUGUCGUAUUUGGAGUACGGGUGGAGCAGCACAGGCAGCAGAGUCCUCAUGGGAUCCUUCACCUUCAUCCCAUCAGCGUCAGAUCCUACGGCCAGGUCCUGCUCAGAACAUCACAGAAAUUAUCUUCAGAUCUGACGAGCUGAAGGUCGGACUCGGCUACAGAGCAGAACACAGAUGUUAUUUUUGCGCAGCUCACAUCUCAAAUUAAACCCGACUGAAGUGCA